UGUCUUCAGACUGGUGGAGGGUCAUCAUGGUGUCUGUGGGUUUAGCAGCACUCAUAAUAACUGUUGUGGCGGUCAACAUAUGGAUGAGAACUAAAGGAAACAGAACAGAGAUGGAUGGCAAUGCUGAGCAUCAUGAUGAAGAUGAAGGUACAGUGACCUAUGAAAACGUUGGAGAACCUUCUG